GCGCCCUUAGCUCAGCUGGAUAGAGCAACGGAUUUCUAAUCCGUAGGUCAGAGGUUCGAAUCCUCUAGGGCGUACCA
rnacentral:tRNA from 1 species